GAUGAAGAACGCAGCGAAAUGCGAUAAGUAAUGUGAAUUGCAGAAUUCAGUGAAUCAUCGAAUCUUUGAACGCACAUUGCGCCCGCUAGUAUUCUGGCGGGCAUGCCUGUCCGAGCGUCAUUUCAACCCUCAAGCCCCCGGGCUUGGUGUUGGGGAUCGGCGAUCCUCCGCGCCCGCCGUCCCCUAAAUCUAGUGGCGGUCUCGCUGUAGCUUCCUCUGCGUAGUAGCACACCUCGCACUGGGAAACAGCGCGGCCACGCCGUUAAACCCCCAACUUCUGAACGUUUGACCUCGGAUCAGGUAGGAAUACCCGCUUAACUUAAGCAUAUCAAUAAGCGGAGGA
rnacentral:misc_RNA from 1 species